rnacentral:lncRNA from 1 species
UCUCAAUUCACAAUCUGUCUGUCUGCCUGUCUCUUUCAAACUCAAACUCAAACAGUGGUUCUUGAACGUGACGCUUGGAAGAUGCAAGCUCCAAAAUUUUCAAACCGGCUGUCACCAGCGGACAGCUGGCUGUCACUGGUAACUGGCAUUUCGAGUAGAAAAAGCGCAAGCUCGUUCGUUUCAUUAGGGUUCCGUAAAUUCCAGUGCUGCUCCGUUCAGUCUCCAUCUUUAGGUUUCUAUCUCUGCAUUUCAGUGUGUGAACAUAGGUGUAUAUGUGUAUGGGCGUGUCUGUAUAUUCGCAUACAUUUAAUUGUUUUUGCAAUUUUCCUGUUGCAUUGACAUGCUUUUCUAUAUUCUAUAGUCAAUUUGCAGAAUUAACUUUUCCUUGAGUCGGUUAGACUAUGAAGAGCAGGAAAAUUAAAAUUAAUUAUAGUUCCGAGUCGAAAUUUUCUGAUUUUUAUUUUCCAGUUUAAUUGAGAGUUAAAAAGAGUUUCAAUGAUGAACUUAUUUUAGCGUGUGUUUUCUUCGCUCUUCUUUUUUAACCAUGCAUUCUUCAAAAUAUAACUAUUCCAAAAUACAAUUUUUUCCCCCAAAACACAUCUAAAUGGAGCAGAGAUCAAACGGGGCUUAAUGUUGUUAAAAAAUAAUUGUAUUUUAAAAUUUAUUUUUCUUUUUUUAUUAAUCUUUAGAUGGGUAAACAAGAGUUUGAUGCUGAUCAAAUUUUAGCAUUAGCAUUUGUUUUUAUUUUUUUCAUACUGGACAUUUUCAUAUGUUGUUAGAUGGUAGCGAGCGUUUGGAUUAUGAUGUUGUCCCUCUUCUUUGUUUCUAAAUCUCAGUUUUGGAUGAGACGAGGUUCAUUAAAGCAUCAAAAAAUGGGAACUUAAUUCCUUUGUGCGAAAUCAUUUUCUCGGAUCAGUUGACACCCGUGUUUGCUUAUCGGUGUCUGGUUAAGGAAGAAGAUAGAGAGGCUCCGAGCUUCCUCUUGGAAUCUGUCAAGCCUGGUUACCGCACUUCCACUGUUGUAAGAAAAUGAAUUCUUGCUCAAAAUUCAUACUUUCUAUUGUACUUCAACUCGUCAAAAUGCACCAUCUAAAACCGGCACUCAAUGCUGCUUUAGUCUUAAAUUUCGAAGGAAUCCAGGACGAGGAUAGCCAACUUGGCCAUUUUACGGUUUAUUAAUGAAAAGAGGUUAAAAGAUAAUAUUCGUCGUGUCUACAUGUACUAGAUCUAGAGGUUCUAUGAAUUACAUCUGAUACUUGAGGUACUCAAUAUGAAUGCUUGAGGUUCUUAUAGAACGUUAGGAACGGGAAUAUUGCUAUAUUCGUCGUAGUUGAGUUUACAUGUAUAUCUUUGCACAAAUAUAAGACCAAAGAUAUUCUUCUAAUUUCCUUGUGCUCUUGAGAAGCUUUCAUUCACGAAUGUACCAAGAGAUGAUAGAAAUCUUGCUGACAUUCAUCUUGGACUCUAGGACGAUGUCAUCGUGUUUGAUCAUGUAGAGAAGGUAAG